AGGGCAUACGGUGGAUGCCUUGGUACCAACAGCCGAAGAAGGACGUGGCAAGCUGCGAGAAGCUGCGGCGAGGCGCAAGCGGCCUUUGACCCGCAGAUGUCCGAAUGGGGCAACCCACCUGGAGUAGUCCAGGUAUCCCGUAAGGGAAGGAACCCGGAGAAGUGAAACAUCUCAGUAUCCGGAGGAAGAGAAAUCGAAGAGAUUCCCUAAGUAGUGGUGAGCGAACGGGGAAGAGCCUAAACCAUAUACAUGUAAGGCUGCGGUCGUUGUGUAUAUGGUGUAGAGGGGCUUUUCAUGCAUAGUCCGCAGGCUAGGCACGGAGUUAUCAAGAUACUUUUUAGCAGAACUGUGUUGGGAAAGCAGGCCAUAGACGGUGAGAGCCCGGUAUGCGACAGAGAGUAUCCUCCGAGAAGAGUUCCCGAGUAGGCCGGAGCACGUGGAAUUCCGGUUGAAUCAGGGUGGACCAUCAUCCAAGGCUAAAUACUGUUGGUGACCGAUAGUGGAUGAGUACCGAGAGGGAAGGGUGAAAAGCACCCCUGGCGGGGAGUGAAAUAGACCUGAACCCGUAUGCCUACAAGCAAUCGGAGCAAGAGAUGCCGCGAGGCAUUGAAUGUGACGGUGUGCCUUUUGUAAAAUGAGCCGGCGAGUUAUUAGACGUAGCGAGGUUAAGGUGCGUAUGUGCACUGGAGCCGUAGGGAAACCGAGUCUGAAUAGGGCGCAAGUUUCGUUUAAUAGACCCGAAGCCGCACGAUCUAUCCAUGGCCAGGUUGAAGUCCGGGUGAAGCCGGAUGGAGGACCGAACCAGUUUCUGUUGAAAAAGAUUUGGAUGAGCUGUGGAUCGGAGUGAAAAGCUAAUCGAGUGCGGUGAUAGCUGGUUCUCCCCGAUAUGCAUUGAGGUGCAGCCUUACGGAAUUGAGAUAUGGGGGUAGAGCACUGGAUGGACGCGGGGGACUGGGGUCCUACCAAAUUCAACCAAACUUCGAAUACCAUAUUUUGUACCGUAGGAGUGAGACUACGGGUGAGAAGGUCCGUGGUCGUGAGGGAAACAGCCCAGACCGUCAGCUAAGGUCCCAAAGCGUAUGCUAAGUGUGGCAAGGAUGUGAGAGUGCCUGGACAGCCAGGAGGUUGGCUUAGAAGCAGCCACCCUUUAAAGAGUGCGUAACAGCUCACUGGUCGAGGACUUUUGCGCCGAGAAUGUAGGGGGCUAAGCAUACUGCCGAAGCUGCGGGAUAUGUGCAAGAGUGUAUAUAUCGGUAGGGGAGCGUUCCAUACGGGGCGAAGCAGAGCCGCGAGGUCAUGUGGACUGUAUGGAAGUGAGAAUGCUGGCAUGAGUAACGCGAAGUGCGUGAGAAACGUACUCACCGGAAGCCCAAGGGUUCCUGGGGAAGGUUCAUCCGCCCAGGGUUAGGCGGGACCUAAGGCGAGGCCGAGAGGCGUAGUCGAUGGAUAGCAGGUAGAUAUUCCUGUCCCAGCCAAUGAGCGUUAAUACCGAAGGGGUGACACAGAAAGCUAGGUGAUCCGGGUGAUGGAAGUCCCGGUCCAAGGGUGUAGGGAGUUUCCGCAGGCAAAUCCGCGGGAAUAAUUCUGAGACCUGAUGGGGAGGCCCUACGGGGUCGAAGUCAUUGAAGCUCGGCUGUCGAGAAAAGCCUCUAGGGAGUUUGUUGGUUGCUCGUACCCGAAACCGACACAGGUGGGCUAGCUGAGGAAGCUAAGGUGAGCGGGAAAACCCUCGUUAAGGAACUCUGCAAGUUGACCCCGUAACUUCGGGAGAAGGGGUGCCACUCUGGUGAAAUAUAAUCAUAUGGAGCUAAGGGUGGUCGCAGAAACCAGGCUCAGGCGACUGUUUACUAAAAACACAGGUCUCUGCAUAAGGCGUAAGCCGAAGUAUAGGGACUGACACCUGCCCGGUGCUGGAAGGUUAAAUGGAGAGGUUAGCGUAAGCGAAGCCUUGAUAUGAAGCCCCAGUAAACGGCGGCCGUAACUAUAACGGUCCUAAGGUAGCGAAAUUCCUUGUCGGGUAAGUUCCGACCUGCACGAAUGGUGUAACGAUCUGAGCACUGUCUCAACGAGGGACCCGGUGAAAUUGUGGUACUGGUAAAGACGCCAGUUACCUGUGGUGGGACGGAAAGACCCCGUGGAGCUUUACUGUAGCCUGAUAUUGGAUUUUGGUCUGUCAUGUACAGGAUAGGUGGGAGGC
rnacentral:rRNA from 1 species